GGUUGAUCCUGCCAGUAGUCAUAUGCUUGUCCUAAAGAUUAAGCCAUGCAUGUCCAAGUAUAAGCGAUUGUACGGUGAAACUGCGAAAGGCUCAUUAAAUCAGUGAUAGUUUACAUGAUGAAGACGAUUACAUGGAUAACCGUGGUAAUUCUAGAGCUAAUACAUGCGCUGGGGGGUGGCGAGAGCGGCCUCUGCAUUUAUUAGAUAAAACCAGCGCGGUGAAUAACCGCAUGUGGCGAGUCAUGAUAACUGAGCGGAUCGUAUGGCCAAGUGCUGACGACGCAUCAUUCAAA
rnacentral:rRNA from 1 species